GCAAGACUUCGCUGAGUACUUCUUUGUGGAGUACGACGACAACGGGAAACCAAACUGCAUCAGCCGUUGCGAGCCGAACUUCAACAGGUCCCUCAACUGCAACCAUGGGACGUGCCAGCUGGACCGCAGCGGCCCUCGGUGCUACUGCCUGAUCACAGACACUGAAUGGUACAGCGGGGAGACGUGUGAAUUCAGCACCAAGAAGAGCCUGGUGUACGGGCUCCUCGGGGCGGCAGGCGCAGUGGUGCUGAUCAUCCUCGCCAUCCUCCUGAUGUUCAUCUUCCGCUCCAGAAGGCAGGUGGAAAGGCAAAAGUCCAAAGUGGCUCAGUUGUACAAGUGGCAUGAAGAGGAUGGUGGGCCAGCCCCUGGGACCUUCCAGAACAUUGGCUUUGACAUCUGUGAAGAACAAGAGAACUAUAUCCGCCUUGACUCCAUCUAUAGUAACUUCCAGCCCGCCCUGGGCCACAUAGACUCUGAAACAAAGAUCAGAAUUAAGAGGCCUCAGGUGAUCAUGACAUCGAUUUAAGGCAAAGACAGUUUCGCACGGAACUCUGGGGUCUGGAAGUGAGUUCGACUAAGCUUGGUGGAGCAUUUCCCCAUCACGAGCAUUCCACGGGAACUGAUGAGAAACAACACCUACCAGCACUUACCUAGGAGGAAAAGGAGAGAGACCACAGUGCUGGGGAACGCUCAAAUAAAAGCACCGUGGAAGCUCCUGUGGGCUUGUCAUGAUCUCAGGCGAGGUCCUCCCGCUCAUUCCAGGGAGAUUCUUCCUCCCGACGGCCCUGCUUCAGCACCAAGGACAGCGCCCGAAUCAACUCGUUUACCCGGAGAGAUUGCUUACACUGGACUGAACUUGAUACAAAAUGCUUUUGCAAGAUUUAUUGCAUCUCAUCUUCAUAACAAACAUGAGUUUUUAAGUAUACGGCAUUUUUCUUUGAGUAUACAGGAUUGUAUAUUGUUAACUGUUUUUUAUCUACAGGUUCUGAUUUUUUGUUAGUGAAUAUAAUCGUAUAUAUUUCUAAUGUAUAUAAAUAAGAAACUAAU
rnacentral:lncRNA from 1 species